GUACUCUCACACUUCUGAUCUUUUGGAUCGGGAGUGGUGGACUUGGGUGUUGCUGCUUCCGUGUGGCUCACCUCAAAUGCAUUAGUGCACCUCUUGAUUGAAACCAUAGUUCGGCGUGAUAAGUAUCUUCGCCGGCACCUCUCACAAGGUUGGCCAAUCGAGGGCUCUGUGCUUCCAACUGUCUUUGGACAACUCUGACA
rnacentral:misc_RNA from 1 species